rnacentral:rRNA from 1 species
GGGGAAUCUUCCGCAAUGGACGAAAGUCUGACGGAGCAACGCCGCGUGAGUGAUGACGGCCUUCGGGUUGUAAAGCUCUGUUAAUCGGGACGAAUGGUUCUUGUGCAAAUAGUGCGAGGAUUUGACGGUACCGGAAUAGAAAGCCACGGCUAACUACGUGCCAGCAGCCGCGGUAAUACGUAGGUGGCAAGCGUUGUCCGGAAUUAUUGGGUGUAAAGCGCGCGCAGGCGGAUUGGUCAGUCUGUCUUAAAAGUUCGGGGCUUAACCCCGUGAUGGGAUGGAAACUGCCAAUCUAGAGUAUCGGAGAGGAAAGUGGAAUUCCUAGUGUAGCGGUGAAAUGCGUAGAUAUUAGGAAGAACACCAGUGGCGAAGGCGACUUUCUGGACGAAAACUGACGCUGAGGCGCGAAAGCCAGGGGAGCGAACGGGAUUAGAUACCCCGGUAGUCCUGGCCGUAAACGAUGGGUACUAGGUGUAGGAGGUAUCGACCCCUUCUGUGCCGGAGUUAACGCAAUAAGUACCCCGCCUGGGGAGUACGACCGCAAGGUUG